UAGAAAGUAAUUUAGUGAUUAUAGUUAAGUAAAAUUAGUACACCGCUAGGGCAUCCUCCGGAGUUAAUUUCCAACAAGUUACCAUGGUAAAGAAAUGAACGGCCAAACUUUCUCGUUUUAAUCAAUAUAGCAAUCCAUACACAGAAUCAGACCGGUACAGUAGAAAGUACAAACUCAGACAGAAAAGGUGAUAAAUCCGGUAACUGCCUUGGGCCAUGUAGACUGAUAGCAAAUUCCAGUCCCCUGUCAGCAACCUUGGGUUGGGGGGUGGCUGCCUGGACCUAAUUAAUCACCCAGGCCUCGGACUGCAAACAAACGACUGGGAUGCCCCAGGUCUGGAAAGGUGGGCACUUUCACCAAUUGGCUCAGCGAUCUCUGGAAAGAUCAGUCAUCCCGGAGGAUAUGCUAGUACGGGAGGCCAGGAUUGCUAUUUUGCUUUUGCACUGGCAUUUCCUACACCGCACAGUGCUUAAAGGACAGGGGAUUAAAGAAACUUAAACUCCAUCCUGGCUGGCCUAAGCGCUUUCACGUUCUCCAGAAGGCAAAGCCGCCUGAGCGGGGCCUGAGGAGCAGCGGGACCCCCACCCCCAAUGGCACGGCGGGCCCGGGGUCUCCACAGGCCCGGCAGAAGGACAACAGUACACACAGGGCCCUGGCGCUCGGAUGCGUGGCAGUGCCGCGGGCGUCACCGGCGAGGAGGAAGCGGGCGUCACCGGCGAGGCCGCACAUGGCCGGCGGCGCUCAAGCGCAGGGGCGGCCCGGGACGCGGUACCUGCGGUCGGGCGGCGGGCUGCUGCUUCUGCGAGCCUCCUUUGGCCGGCCAGGACCCCGCGGUGCCCUCGCCCUUGUCCGCCUGGCUCCCGACUCUUUUUCCCUCUCUUUCCCCCUUUUUGCCCCCUCCUCGGCCGUGGCUCCAAGAUGGCGGCGCCGAGACGGAUCACGUGAGCGGCGAGCGGGUCAGCUCCUGUCUCAGAGUCACCUUGCAGGGAUUGCCUUGUGAUCAAGCUCUUGGUAGCAGGGAGCCUCAGAAAUAGAGCUGCGGCACUGGGAGAUUCUGACGGGAUCCCACAGGGAGAGGCACAAUUAAGAAUCUCAUGCAACAGAGCAUCCCUUUGUCCUUGUGAUUAGCGGAAGUGAGGACAUUCACCCUGGCAAAAUAGUGCUGAUGUAGGUUCUCUUGAGUUUGGCUCUUUAUGUUGAGAGGAACCAUAUUUGCAGAUU